rnacentral:lncRNA from 10 species
GCUCAUAAUUGUGGACACACACAGCACUGAGAGAGGCGUUCUUAAAGAUUUCUCAAAGGAGAGGAAGAAGUAAAAAGAAGAUGGUGAAAUAGCUUCCCAAUGAUAAAUCGGGUGUUCCUGGACAGCAAGUGAGUGACUUGCUCACAGGCGGUAAUUCAGGGACCCAGGUUUCUUCUACCUGGUAGCUCUACUGUCCUUCAGAACCUCAGAGCCCUGUGCAUUCAGCCAGCAGGAGAAAGACCACUACUAAGGUCAUUCACUUUGGGAGAAGCCAGUCUUCAUGCCAUGAGGACGUUCAGGCAGCCCUGUGGAGAGAACCACAUGGAAAGGAUCUGAGGUCUCUCACCAGCACCAAUUUGCCAGCUAUGGGAAUGGGCCACCUUGGAAGGAGACUGUCCAGCCCAAGUGAAGGCUGCAGAUAACUGCAGCUUUGGCCAACAUUUGGCUAUAUUGCUUUGGGAAAUCUCAAGCCAGAACCAUCUGGCCAAGCUGCUCUUAAAUUCCUGAUCCACAGAAGUUUUGGAAGGUAAUAAAUGUUUAUUGUUUUAAGGCACCAAGUUUCAGGGUGAUUUGUUACCAGUAAUAGAUAACUAAUAUGUUUGGCAAAAUGGCUACAUGUCUGUCAUUCAGAGAAGCUUCUGCAAUAAGAGGCCUUCCAUUGUGCAGGAAACUGACCUACCUGGCUUUGCUUUUCUAGGGGUGGUGGCCAUAGACCAAGUGUGAGGUUGUUGAUCAGGGUUAGAGCUGUGAUCAUGAAGGAAAAA